AAAUUGAGAGGAGGUUUCAGGCCGUUUACCCAGCCCUUUAGUGGGGAUCUGUCCGGGACUCUGCAGUCUGAACCUGCAACUGUAAAAGGCAUGGUCCCUGGAAACAACCCUGGUGCUGUCCAGCAGCGUGUUGAACAGGAAGUUGUGUGUGCGAAUACAAGGUUCCAUAAAAUUCCUGAUGGAGAUCGUGGAGUGAAAAGAAAUUAUCACAGAAUUCCAACAAGGCUUGAAGGCAGAAUUAUCUUUAGAAAACUAAGCCUGUAUUAAUAAAAAAAACAUAAUAUGAAAAUAUAAUUUA
rnacentral:lncRNA from 1 species